CAUACGUCAGUGUCUGGUUCUGGUAGGGCUACAGUCAACUGUGUGACCAUCAUGACUGAACUGAAGCUGCUAUGAAUCAAAACACCCACCAGAGGGCGUGUGUUACCAGUGAAUGCAUCAGUCAUUUACAGUUGUAUCUGCAUGCUUUAACACUAACUGUGAUUCUUGAGGCACUAUCAGUGAAACCAUCAACACUUGUAGCCAAUGGAUUUAUCACAUGUGCCAAACUGAAUGCAGGUCCUGCACUCCAUCACGCUCAUACUAAAACUGUCUGCAUUGCUACACUAUUUUGCCAGCUGUCUUUCCAUAUUGACACACGCAGAAACACUUGUAGAUGAUGAGUUCACUUACAAAUCAGAGCUUGAGCAGAAUGAAUAGAACAUUUGGUUUGGACAACAGUGGAGGCCAGAAUUCGUAGAGAUGGAUGGAUGAGAGUUUUUGGCAAAACCCACAAAGCCCCUGCAAUUCAGCCCCCGCCAUCUUGGUUUUUUGGAGCCAGAAGUGACCAUAUUUCGGCAAGAGCGUAGAGCUGAGGAGCGAGGGCCGGAUCUGACUCAUAGACUGUGGUGACGCCUCGCAGACAGCCUGUCAAACAAGCUGAGUGCAUAAACACUAACAGUGAUUCUUAAAGCCCUAUUAACACUAGUAGCCAAUGCAUUUACCAAGUGUGCUGAACUAAACACACCACUGCAUUUGCAAUUUAAUAGCACGCUUCUACUAUAACUGUGAACAUUGGUCUCUGCAUUGCUACACUUUUUUGCCAAUUGCCUUUCCACAUUGAUGUAGAAAAAAUUGAUGAUUCAAUUCCAUUGUAUUUACAAAGCCCAAUAUAAAGACAAUAAUCAUAUGUGUAUAAUAACAGUAGAAGUAUGACUAAUGAUAACAGCAGCAGCAGCAGGAGGCAUCUGGCAGGACCACGGACCACAGGACCACAACCACACGUCACACCAUCCAGGCACCGCUGCAAUACGAGUUAACCUGAGAGACAGUGGAGCACAAAAGCUCCGGAGAAGAAGCCGAGUUAGUGACAUGCAGUAACAGGACAUGAGUGUUAGCAAAGGAGAGAGAGAGAGAGAGAGAGAGAGAGAGAGAGAGAGAGAGAAGGUGCCCGGUGUAUUAUAGGGGGGUCCUCUGGUAGACUAGGCCUAAGUCAGCCUAACUAGGGGCUGGUACAGGGCAAGCCUGAGCCAGCCCUAACUAUAAGCUUUAUCAAAGAGGAAAGUCUUAAGUCUAGUCUUAAAUGUGGAGACGGUGUCUGCCUCCCGGACCGUAACAGGAAGAUGAUUCCACAGGAGAGGAGCCUGUGUUCUGAUAAUGAGUUCUGUUGGGAAUAGAAUGAUUUUAUGUGUUUUACUAUCAGUUGUGUUUCACUAUAUAAGUUUUAGAUAUGUGAACAAUGAGAAUACUGAGAUGAUUUCAGCUGAUCUGAAUGUGUUUGCUUUGCAGAAGUGGAGAAGUACAGGAGAGGAAGAGACAUGAAGUCUGAGGAGCACAUACCGCAAUGCUUAGAUAAUUAGUUUCAUAUAUGGUAAAAAGAAUAGAAAGUGAUGAACAGAUAGUAAGGUAGUGUAGGGAGUUGUGUUGUUCUCUUGUCUUUCAAAACAGGAACCACGCCCCCACCGCCAGCGGGAAGGAGUCAGAUUAACACGAGGCAGGGGCGUGGUGUGGUGAAGGAGGAAGUGGAACUGCCAAUGAGAAGAGGACAACGCCUUGCGUGCACAAUGACACUCUGUUACGCUCAAAUAUACUGGGUCAGGGAAAGGACAGGAGGUCAGACUUCGUGAACUGACACACCUUUGUUGUUCGUCAGGGACGUGAAGUUGAGACCCAGAGCUCUGUAAUUUUAUUCCUUUACUGCUUAAUAAACUACAUUAACUGAGACUGAA